AGGAUUAACGCUGGCGGCGUGCCUAACACAUGCAAGUCGAACGAGGUAGCAAUACCUAGUGGCAGACGGGUGAGUAACGCGUGGUCAACCUACCGUUGAGUGGGGGAUAACUAGCCGAAAGGUUAGCUAAUACCGCAUACGAGUCUCGGGGGCAUCCCUGGGCCUUAAAAGGAGCAAUCCGCUCGAUGACGGGACCGCGUCCCAUUAGCUAGAUGGUGGGGUAAUGGCCUACCAUGGCUCCGAUGGGUAGCUGGUUUGAGAGAGCGACCAGCCACACUGGGACUGAGAAACGGCCCAGACUCCUACGGGAGGCAGCAGUGAGGAAUUUUCCGCAAUGGGCGAAAGCCUGACGGAGCGACGCCGCGUGUGGGAAGAAGGCCUUCGGGUCGUAAACCACUGUCGAAGGGGACGAUAAUGACGGUACCCUUGGAGGAGCCCGGCUAACUACGCGCCAGCAGCCGC
rnacentral:rRNA from 1 species